AAAAGUGCGUAACAGCUUACCAGUCAAGAUUCAGGGCGCUGAAAAUGGACGGGGCUUAAGCCUGCCACAGAUACCACGGACCAUACGAAUAGUAUGAUGGCGUAGAGAGGCGUCCUGCAUGGGCGGAAGCAGGGUUGCAAGAUCCUGUGGACCGUGCAGGAAUGAAAAUUCUGGCAGUAGAAGAAGCUUAAGAUUGGUGAGAAUCCAAUCCGCCGCAGGGGCUAGGUUUCCUCGACAAUGUUCGUCAGUCGAGGGUUAGUCGGUCCUAAGACGUACCGUAACUCGAGUACGCCGAAAGGGAAACAGGUUAAUAUUCCUGUACCUGUAUCAAACAAUCCUGACGCUUUCGGAUAGGCAUUGCGGAGUCAUCGCUCCGUCUAAGCCGGAUAUGAAAUUGGAGUACCGUAAUGGUGAGAAUUUUUCAAAACGGUGAUGGGGUAACAAUGCUGAUUCCAGGAGCCCGUGAAAAGGGUGAUACGGUCCGUACCGAGAACUGACACAGGUGCCCCUCGCUGAGAAGGCGAAGGCGUGUCGGGAGUAAAUGUGUUAAGGGAACUCGGCAAAUUAGCCCUGUAACUUUGGGAUAAGGGGUGCCUGCCCAGCGAUUGGGCAGGUCGCAGUGACAAGAUCGCUCCGACUGUCUAAUAACAACAUAGCAGACUGCAACUCCGAAAGGACUCGUAUAGUCUGUGAUUCCUGCCCAGUGCGAGUAUCUGAACACCGGGUUCAACCGGACGAAGGACUCGUAAACGGCGGGGGUAACAAUGACCCUCUUAAGGUAGCGUAGUACCUUGUCGCUUAAUUGGCGACUUGCAUGAAUGGAAUAACGAGAGCGAUACUGUCCCUAACACAUACCCGUUGAACCUUUUGUACUAGUGCAGAGACUAGUGACUCCUUAUGGGAAGUGAAGACCCCGUGGAGCUUUACUGCAGCCUGUCGUUGGGUUACGGUAUUACCUGCGCAGGGUAGAUGGGAGACGUCGAUCCAACCCUUGUGGGGGUUGGUUAGUCACCGAUGAGACACCAUCCUGGUUUUAUUGUAAUUCUAACUGAUUUAUCAGGACAUCGAUAGGUAGGCAGUUUGGGUGGGGCGCCACACCCUCGAAAAAAUAUCAAGGGUGCCCUAAGGUCAACUCAAGCGGGUCAGAAACCCGCUGAAGAGUGUCAAGAGCAAAAGUUGGCCUGACGCGAUUUCGCAUAGCAAGAAAUCGCGAGAGGAAACUCGGGUCUAACGAACCAAUACGCCCUGUUGAUGAGGGCUAUUGACUACAGAAAAGCUACCCCGGGGAUAACAGAGUCGUCGCCGGCAAGAGCACAUAUCGACCCGGCGGCUUGCUACCUCGAUGUCGGUUCUUUCCAUCCUGGCUGUGCAGCAGCAGCCAAGGGUGAGGUUGUUCGCCUAUUAAAGGGGAUCGUGAGCUGGGUUUAGACCGUCGUGAGACAGGUCGGUUACUAUCUAUAAGGAGUGUUGGAAGUCUGAAGGCAAGAAUGAAAUAGUACGAGAGGAACUUUCAUUCGGCGCCACUGGUCUACCGGUUGUCUGACAAGGCAACGCCGGGCAGCUACGCGCCAAGAGAUAAAAGCUGAAAGCAUCUAAGCUUGAAACUCAGCCUGAACAAGAGACUUCAUUAAAGACACGGGUAAAAGACCCGGUUGAUAGGUUCGGGAUGUACGCACGAAGGCAACGACGUGUUCAGUCCGCGAAUACUAAUCGUCCC
rnacentral:rRNA from 1 species